UCAGUCUUNAGAUCGAGAGAGGNGAGUGGAACUCCGAGUGUAGAGGNGAAANUUGUAGAUAUUNGGAAGAACACCAGUGGNGAAGGCGGCUCACUGGCUCGAUACUGACGCUGAGGUACGAAAGCGUGGGGAGCAAACANGAUUAGAUACCCUGGUAGUNCNCGCCGUAAACGAUGAAUGCUAGUUGUCAGGUAGCUUGCUAUUUGGUGACGCAGCUAACGCAUUAAGCAUUCCGCCUGGGGAGUACGGUCGCAAGAUUNAAACUCAAANGAAUUGACGGGGGNCCGCACAANCGGUGGAGCAUGUGGUUUAAUUNGAAGCAACGCGCAGAACCUUNNCAGCCCCUGACAUUUGACGCUACAUCUGGAGACAGAUGGUUNCUUUNNGGGACGUCAGGACAGGUGCUGCAUGGCUGUCGUCAGCUCGUGUCGUGAGAUGUUGGGUUAAGACCCGCAACGAGCGCAACCCUCGCCCUUAGUUGCCAGCAUUUAGUUGGGCACUCUAGGGGGNCUGCCGGUGAUAAGCCGGAGGAAGGUGGGGAUGACGUCAAGUCCUCAUGGNCCUUACGGGCUGGGCUACACACGUGCUACAAUNNNNNNGNCAGUGGGCAGCGACCUCGCGAGGGGUAGCUAAUCUCUAAAAGCCGUCUCAGUUCGGAUUGUUCUCUGCAACUCGAGAGCAUGAAGUNGGAAUCGCUAGUAAUCGCGUAACA
rnacentral:rRNA from 1 species